GGCAGCGUAGCUCAGACGGUUAGAGCAGUGGAAUCAUAAUCCACGUGUCGGGGGUUCGAUUCCCUCCGCUGCUA
rnacentral:tRNA from 1 species